ACUCCUACGGGAGGCAGCAGUGGGGAAUAUUGGACAAUGGGCGCAAGCCUGAUCCAGCCAUGCCGCGUGAGUGAUGAAGGCCUUAGGGUUGUAAAGCUCUUUCGUCCGGGACGAUAAUGACGGUACCGGAAGAAGAAGCCCCGGCUAACUUCGUGCCAGCAGCCGCGGUAAU
rnacentral:rRNA from 1 species